rnacentral:rRNA from 1 species
GACAGAGGCCCCAAGCGUUAGGCGGAAUCACUGGGCUUAAAGCGUGUGUAGGCGGAUCGUUAAGUGUCUUGUGAAAUCCCACGGCUCACCCGUGGAACUGCUGGGCAUACUGGCGAUCUUGGGCCAACUAGGGGCAGUCGGAACAAGCGGUGGAGCGGUGAAAUGCGUAGAUAUCGCUUGGAACGCCGAAGGUGAAAACAGGCUGCUGGGGUUGCGCCGACGCUGAGACACGAAAGCCAGGGGAGCAAACGGG